rnacentral:tRNA from 1 species
UGCAUUUUAGUUUAUGAUGAAUUAAGAGUUUUGAUCUCUAAGGGUAUGGUUUAACUCCAUAAUUUGCAA